ACAUUCCUACGGGAGGCAGCAGUGAGGAAUAUUGGUCAAUGGGCGAGAGCCUGAACCAGCCAAGUCGCGUGAAGGAUGACGGCCCUAUGGGUUGUAACCUUCUUUUGUCAGGGAGCAAUUGGGUCCACGUGUGGGCUUAGCGAGAGUACCUGCAGAAAAAGCAUCGGCUAACUCCGUGCCAGCAGCCGCGGUAAUACGGAGGAUGCGAGCGUUAUCCGGAUUUAUUGGGUUUAAAGGGUGCGUAGGCGGAAUAUCAAGUCAGCGGUACAAAUUCGGGGCUCAACCCCGUCGUGCCGUUGAAACUG
rnacentral:rRNA from 1 species